AAACAUUUUAUGGCCGGUUGGUUGGUGAUUUUUUAAGGAGAUUGUUCCAAAGCUAAUCCAAUGUUGUUUUCUUGAAAGAAGAUUAUGUAGCUUAUGCUGGUUUCUUAAAGGAAAAUGGUGAAACACUGGUGACUUGGAAAAGGGCAGCGUCCAUGGAUGAGGUUCUCCAGGAGGCUGAUAUAAUUAGUCUUCAUCCUAUCCUGGACAAAACCACUUAUCAUCUAGUCAACAAGGAAAGACUUGCCAAGAUGAAGAAGGUUAUAAACCCUCUUUGGCCAUGAAGAGAUCUUUGAAAAGAAUCAAUUUAGGGAAGGUUGUACCCACUGGCUGUUUCCACUGGCUGUUUGAGACUGAACCGCAAUCAUAUACUAUACCUUUGAACUCAUUAGUCAUGGUGUAAAACUAUUAGUAGCUCUGUAUUUGGUUUUGUCUUCACACUAGAAGUACAUUUAUGAUAUUUCAUGAUCGCGUAAUCUAAUGCUAGAAUUGUAU